AUAUAAAAUAGACAUACAAACGAUUUAGAGUCGCAAAAAUUUUCAAGUUCCUUUCCACUGAUCAUGUUGUCCGGGUGGAACAACUUCCGGUAGGGCCCGUUCCGUACCUGAUCCACAACCGUCGGUUCCGUGUCGACCAGAAAUCAACUGAAAGUGGGACACCAGUCGACAAAACGGAUAUCUCGCCGGAAUUUAAUGGAGGCUAUCGCAGUGUUGACAUCUUUGGGCACUACAUCACCGCGGUACAACAAACAACAGGCCAUAUAUUUACCGUUCUUUAGAUUACAUUUGACCAUCUGAAUGAGGGCAUGGAGGAGCCGAUGUUCA